rnacentral:pre_miRNA from 1 species
GGAGUGGAAUUUGAGCCAAGAAUGACUUGCCGAUGUCUCAGGAUGAAAAGGAAUGCAAAAUCUAGUACUGCAUGCUUAUUAUGAUCAGCCGGCAAGUCGGUCUUGGCUCAUUUCGCUCUCU